AUUGAACGCUGGCGGCAGGCCUAACACAUGCAAGUCGAACGGUAGCACAGAGAGCUUGCUCUCGGGUGACGAGUGGCGGACGGGUGAGUAAUGUCUGGGAAACUGCCCGAUGGAGGGGGAUAACUACUGGAAACGGUAGCUAAUACCGCAUAACGUCGCAAGACCAAAGUGGGGGACCUUCGGGCCUCACACCAUCGGAUGUGCCCAGAUGGGAUUAGGUAGUAGGUGGGGUAAUGGCUCACCUAGGCGACUAUGCCUAGCUGGUCUGAGAGGAUGACCAGCCACACUGGAACUGAGACACGGUCCAGACUCCUACGGGAGGCAGCAGUGGGGAAUAUUGCACAAUGGGCGCAAGCCUGAUGCAGCCAUGCCGAGUGUAUGAAGAAGGCCUUCGGGUUGUAAAGUACUUUCAGCGGGGAGGAAGGCGGUGAAGUUAAUAACUUCACCGAUUGACGUUACCCGCAGAAGAAGCACCGGCUAACUCCGUGCCAGCCGCCGCGGUAA
rnacentral:rRNA from 1 species